rnacentral:rRNA from 1 species
GACGAACGCUGACGGCGUGCUUAACACAUGCAAGUCGAACGGAAAGGCCCUGCUUUUGUGGGGUGCUCGAGUGGCGAACGGGUGAGUAACACGUGAGUAACCUGCCCUUGACUUUGGGAUAACUUCAGGAAACUGGGGCUAAUACCGGAUAGGAGCUCCUGCUGCAUGGUGGGGGUUGGAAAGUUUCGGCGGUUGGGGAUGGGCUCGCGGCUUAUCAGCUUGUUGGUGGGGUAGUGGCUUACCAAGGCUUUGACGGGUAGCCGGCCUGAGAGGGUGACCGGCCACAUUGGGACUGAGAUACGGCCCAGACUCCUACGGGAGGCAGCAGUGGGGAAUAUUGCACAAUGGGCGGAAGCCUGAUGCAGCAACGCCGCGUGCGGGAUGACGGCCUUCGGGUUGUAAACCGCUUUCGCCUGUGACGAAGCGUGAGUGACGGUAAUGGGUAAAGAAGCACCGGCUAACUACGUG